rnacentral:misc_RNA from 1 species
AAGUCGUAACAAGGUUUCCGUAGGUGAACCUGCGGAAGGAUCAUUACAGUUUUCUGCGCUUAACUGCGCGAAAUACACAGUGUUUCUACAUUCAAUUAUCUCCAGUGGGCGUACGCACGCUGGAGGAAACCCAAAUCAACAUUUUAAUAAUUAGUCAAGAUAAUUUUAAUAUCAAAACUUUCAACAACGGAUCUCUUGGUUCUC